rnacentral:rRNA from 1 species
CCUACGGGUGGCAGCAGUGAGGAAUAUUGGGCAAUGGAGGCAACUCUGACCCAGCCAUGCCGCGUGAGUGAAGAAGGUUUUCGGAUUGUAAAGCUCUUUCGGCUGUGACGAUGGUUCCGUUAGCCUCUCAACACGCCCCGGCUAACUUCGGGCCAGCAGCCGCGGUCAUACGCAGGGGGCGAGCGUUGUUCGGAAUUACUGGGCGGAAAGGGAGUGUAGGCGGUUUAGUAAGAUAGUGGUGAAAUCCCAGGGCUUAACUUUGGAAUUGCCAUUAUAACUAGUAGACUAGAAUUACAGAGAGGAUAGUGGAAUACCCAGUGUAGAGGUGAAAUUCGUAGAUAUUGGGUAGAACACCAGUGGCGAAGGCGACUAUCUGGCUGGAAAUUGACGCUGAGGCUCGAAAGCAUGGGGAUCAAACAGGAUUAGAUACCCUUGUAGUC